CCUACGGGUGGCAGCAGUGAGGAAUAUUGGUCAAUGGGCGGGAGCCUGAACCAGCCAAGUCGCGUGAGGGACGACGGUCCUAUGGAUUGUAAACCUCUUUUGUCGGGGAACAAAGGCGCCCACGGGUGGGCGGAUGAGUGUACCCGAAGAAAAAGCAUCGGCUAACUCCGUGCCAGCGGCCGCGGUAAUACGGAGGAUGCGAGCGUUAGCCGGAUUUAUUGGGUUGAAAGGGUGCGUGGGCGGACAGUCAAGUCAGCGGUAAAAAUGCGGUGCCCAGCGCCGUACAGCCGUUGAAACUGGCAGUCUGGAGUGGGCGAGAGGGAUGCGGAAUGCGUGGUGUAGGAGUGAAAUGCAUAGAUAUCACGCGGAACGCCGAUGGCGAAGGCAGCAUACCGGCGCCCGACUGACGCUGAGGCACGAAAGCGUGGGUAUCGAACAGGAUUAGAUACCCGUGUAGUC
rnacentral:rRNA from 1 species